CCUACGGGCGGCAGCAGUGGGGAAUAUUGCACAAUGGGGGAAACCCUGAUGCAGCGACGCCGCGUGAGUGAAGAAGUAUUUCGGUAUGUAAAGCCCUGUCAGCAGGGAAGAAAAUGACGGUACCUGACCAAGAAGCCGCGGCUAACUACGUGCCAGCAGCCGCGGUAAUACGUAGGGGGCAAGCGUGAUCCGGAUUUACGGGGUGUAAAGGGAGCGUAGACGGCAGUGCAAGUCUGGAGUGAAAGGCGGGGGCUCAACCCCCGGACUGCUCUGGAAACUGUACGGCUGGAGUGCAGGAGAGGUAGGCGGAAUUCCUGGUGUAGCGGUGAAAUGCGUAGAUAUUAGGAGGAACACCAGUGGCGAAGGCGGCCUACUGGACGGUGACUGACGCUGAGGCUCGAAAGCGUGGGGAGCAAACAGGAUUAGAUACCCGAGUAGUC
rnacentral:rRNA from 1 species